GAUGAAGAACGCAGCGAAAUGCGAUAAGUAAUGUGAAUUGCAGAAUUCAGUGAACCAUCGAAUCUUUGAACGCACAUUGCGCCAGGCAGUAAUCUGCCGGGCAUGCCUGUCCGAGCGUCAUUUCUGCCCUCGAGCGAGUCCAGCAUCUAGGUGCUGGGCCCGCCCGGCGUUGGGGCACUACGGGGAGCCCUGUGCUGUCCCCCGUAGGCCCCGAAAUGAAGUGGCGGUCCUGCCGCGGCGCCCCCUGCAUAGUAUAACAGCUAGCUUCGGGACCCGGUGGAGGCCUGCCGUCAAACCUUACUCUCUAAGUUUGACCUCGGAUCAGGUAGGGUUACCCGCUGAACUUAAGCAUAUCAAUAAGCGGAGGA
rnacentral:misc_RNA from 1 species